AUUGAACGCUGGCGGCAGGCCUAACACAUGCAAGUCGAGCGGAUGAAGGGAGCUUGCUCCUGGAUUCAGCGGCGGACGGGUGAGUAAUGCCUAGGAAUCUGCCUGGUAGUGGGGGAUAACGUCCGGAAACGGGCGCUAAUACCGCAUACGUCCUGAGGGAGAAAGUGGGGGAUCUUCGGACCUCACGCUAUCAGAUGAGCCUAGGUCGGAUUAGCUAGUUGGUGGGGUAAAGGCCUACCAAGGCGACGAUCCGUAACUGGUCUGAGAGGAUGAUCAGUCACACUGGAACAGAGACACGGUCCAGACUCAUACGGGAGGCAGCAGGGGGGAAUAUUGGAAAAUGGGCGAAAGUCGGAUAAAGCCAUGCCGCGUGUGUGAAGAAGGUCUUCGGAUUGUAAAGCACUUUAAGUUGGGAGGAAGGGCAGUAAGUUAAUAACUUGCGGUUUUGAAGUGACCAAAAGAAGAAGAACCGGCUAACUUCGUG
rnacentral:rRNA from 1 species